GACGAACGCUGGCGGCGUGCUUAACACAUGCAAGUCGAACGGAAAGGCCCUGCUUUUGUGGGGUGCUCGAGUGGCGAACGGGUGAGUAACACGUGAGUAACCUGCCCUUGACUUUGGGAUAACUUCAGGGAACUGGGGCUAAUACCGGAUAGGAGCUCCUGCUGCAUGGUGGGGGUUGGAAAGUUUCGGCGGUUGGGGAUGGACUCGCGGCUUAUCAGGUUGUUGGUGGGGUAGUGGCUUACCAAGGCUUUGACGGGUAGCCGGCCUGAGAGGGUGACCGGCCACAUUGGGACUGAGAUACGGCCCAGACUCCUACGGGAGGCAGCAGUGGGGAAUAUUGCACAAUGGGCGGAAGCCUGAUGCAGCAACGCCGCGUGCGGGAUGACGGCCUUCGGGUUGUAAACCGCUUUCGCCUGUGACGAAGCGUGAGUGACGGUAAUGGGUAAAGAAGCACCGGCUAACUACGUG
rnacentral:rRNA from 1 species